AGAAGAAGAAGAAGAAGCAGCAGCGCGAUGAUGAUGUCUGACUGAGAGGGAAGAAUCACUCUGCAGUCGCUCCGAGUGGAUCCAGAAUCAGCUCAAAAACACUCCAAAACGAAAAUGUAGGUGGUCAAAAAAAAUCAGGACAGACGUGAAAAAUGUCAGGAGGACGUUGUCCAUCUGACAUUUUUAAUCCCUUUGAAUCUUGGACAGUCCUUUCAAAUUCCCGAGAAGAAGGCAAUGAGUGACUUCAGAAGAAAUAACCAAAAUUAGCAAGAAAUUAGUAAAAAGUACAAGAAAAUAACAAGCAAAAAAAGGGGGAAAGUAAAAAAAAAAAGUGCCAAAAAAAUUAUCAAAGUAAUUUCAAAUGGAUAAUUAUGUUGAUCAGAAAUAUAAUUUUCUAUACAAAAUAUUUUUCUAAAUUUAAUAAUUUCUUGCAAUAUGUGAGACAUUUCUUGUCAAAAAACUCAUGCAGAUCCAGGUUACAAAGGGUUAAAAGCUCCCAAACUCUGGAGUGAGACCAAAAAUCUGCUUGUUGCAGCUGUGACGGUCAGUACAGUAAAUUUUAAAGCUGAUACUCAUAAUUGAAAAUCACAAAAGCUGGAGAGCUGUAUUUUGUUAUCGGUUGAUCCCUUUUUUUUUUGACCUGCAUACAUUUCGAAUAAAACUUCCUGGUUACACUUUACCCAAAACCCCCUAUUUUGCAUUCGUACGUUGUAUGUAAAUAUUGAUUAGAUGGCUUAUAAGCAGCUAUAAACUGGUAUUCAUGCUCUUCCAAAAGUUGCGGCUGCUGUAUGAGCAAACACUGACUGACUACAGUAAAACACAGCUGUGAUAUUAAUAUUAAACAUGUUUUAUGAGGGACAUUAUCACUUUUUACCAUACUGUACAUUAAUAAACUAUUAAAAGUGUCUUCAUAUCUGCUUAUAAAUACAUUGUUAGGUGUUAUUUGUAAAUUGCUGAUGAAUGCUAAAUGGGGGAUUAACGUAGUUGUGACCAAGAAACGUGAGAGCAACAUUUUACACGUGUAAAUAAACUUGUAAGAGCUUUCUGUUGAACAAA